UACAGAGGUCCCAAGCGUUGUUCGGAUUCACUGGGCGUAAAGGGUGCGUAGGUGGUGAGGUAAGUCGGAUGUGAAAGCUCGGAGCUCAACUCCGAAAUGGCAUUGGAAACUACCUUGCUCGAGGGUUGGAGGGGGGACUGGAAUACUUGGUGUAGCAGUGAAAUGCGUAGAUAUGUGGAGGAACACCGAUGGCGAAGGCAGCCCCCUGGGCUAACACUGACGCUCAGGCACGAAAGCGUGGGGAGCAAACAGG
rnacentral:rRNA from 1 species